UUGGGCCCCACCUUGGACAUACCAGUUUCCAUUUUCAAUGACAUCAGCCAGGACUGGCGGCUGCAGCAUUUUGUCGGCUGGAUGUGGUAUGAACGGGAGGUGACCCUGCUGAAGCGAUGGAUCCAGGACCUGCACAUAAGAGUGGUGCUGAGGAUUGGCAGUGCCCACUUCUAUGCCAUUGUGGUCAGUGUGGCGAGGAGCAGGCAGGGCAGGUGUGUGGGCACAGCUGCUGAACAGCAUGGGACCCUCAGAUUCCACCCACAGCCUGUCUCCUGGGGUGGGACAGUGGGGGGCCUUACCCUGCCCUGGGGGCUGUGCCCUGUGUAGGUGGAUAGGUGGCCUGAUCUACCCCACUGUAGACGGGGUGUCCUUUUUCCCGUCUGGCUGGCAGGCCCUUGAGCCCCAUGCUGCGGGUUAUGUGAGGGCGUGCCCAAUAGCAGAGCCCCUCCUCAUGCCCCGACCUGCCACCCCCUUCUCAUAUCUCCCUAUGUCUGCAGUGGGUGAUUGGCUAGAGCAUGAAAGGGGCUACCUCCCCUUCGAGGCUGACAGCAGCAGUCUAUUCCAGGUGGGGCCCCUGCCCUCCCCCCUCUGCGUCAUCAACUGUCACCAUCAACAACACGCUCGCCCCCCACCCUGCCACCAGGGACCAUCCGUACAUGACCGACAACUCCAAGUAUCCCAAGGGUUACUUUGUCCAGAACACAGACUUUGACUUCUUCAACUAUGCGGGACUACAGCGGUCUGUGCUUCUGUACACGACACCAACUACCUACAUCGAUGACAUCACCAUCACCACUGGUGUGGAGUGAGACAGAGGUGAGAGCUUCUGGUAGGAUCCUCCCUCAGCGGGGCUCAGGGUGGCUCUGUUUGUUCCCUAUUUGGAAAGCUCUCCCAGGAAAAAGGUUCUUCCAGCAUCUCUAAACCUUCACAGGUUCCCAUCCACCUAUGAAGCUAAAAUCCAGGCUGUCUGAGCGGGCACGGGCUCCCGAGAUCACUCAUGUGGUUGAUCUUGCUUGGAGAAGAGAGGUCUGGCCUAACGUCACAUAGCUCAGGGUGGCAGCCCUGUCCCUUCCCCACGGUGCUGCUCUCACUCUAGCUCCCAUUGCUACACAUCGUGCUCAAGGAACAGGCAGCUUCAGGGGGCCGGGUGCGGUGGCUCACGCCUGUCAUCCCAGCUCUUUGUAAAGGAGGACUUGGUAGGAGGAUCACUUCAGGCCAAGAGUUCAAGACCAGGCUGGGCAACAUAGCAAGACCAUCAGCACAAAAAAUUUAAAAAUUUGCCAGGCAGGGUGAUGCGUGCCGGUAGUCCCAGCUGCUGAGGCAGGAGAAUCAGUUGAGCCUGGGAGGUCAAGGGUGCAGUGAGCUGUGACCGCGUCACUGCAGUCUGGUCUGGGCAACAGAGGGAGACCCUGUCUUUUUUGUUUGUAUUUGUUUUUGAGCUGGAGUCUCACUCUGUAGGAGCCCAGACUGGAGGGCACUGGCGCACUCUUGGGCUCACUGCAACCUCCACCUCCCAAGUUCAAGUGAUUCUCCUCCCUCAGCCUCCCUAGUAGCAGGGAUUACAGGUACCUUCCACCAUGUCCAGCCAAUUUUUGUGGUUUUUGUUUAGUAGAGACGGGGUUUCACCAUGUAGGCCUGGGUUGGUCUUGAACUCCUGACCUCAGAUGACUCACCUGCCUCGGCCUCCCAAAGUGCAAGGAUUACAGGUGUGAGCUACCGUGCAUGACUGGGAUACCUUGUUUUUAAGAAAAAAAAAUAUAUUUAUUUAUUUAUUUAUUUUUAAUAUAUCUUUUUCCUUUUGUGAGAUGAGGCCUUACACUGUCAACCAGGCUGGAUGGCAGUGGUACAAUGAUUGACAGCUGUUGUGGGGCCGCAGUUGUCAGUUUCAAAGAAUUUAGGCUGGGUGUGGUGGCUAAUGCCUGUCAUCCCAGCACUUUGGGAGGCCACGGUGGGUGGAUCGCUUGAGCUCAAAGGUUAGAGACCAGCCUGGGCAACAUAGUCAGACCCUGUUUCAAAAAGAAUAAAUAAUUAAAAUAAAUAAAGAAUUUAAAUAAGAAUCACACAGCAAAGGUGAUGCAGCAUAGAGCAAUUUGUUGUAAAGGGAAAAAUAUUUUGCAAGUGAAGUGCAGAAUAGCCCGGGCACAGUGGCUCAUACCUGUAAUCCCAGCACUUUGGGAGGCUGAGGUGGGUGGAUGACCUCAGGCCAGGAGUUCUAGACCAGCCUGGCCAAUGUGGUGAAACCCCAUCUCAAACUGUCUCCAAAAAAAAAAAAAAAAGUACGCACCUGUAAUCCCAGCUACUAGGGAAGCUGAGGCAGGAGAAUUGUUUGAACCCAGGAGGCAGAGGUUGCAGUGAGCCAAGAUUGCCCCACUGCACUCCAGCCUGGGGAGCAGAGGGAGGCUCCCUCUCAAAAAAAAAAUAAUAAUAAUUAGCUGGGCGUGGUGGCAGGUGCCUGUAAUCCCAGCAACUCGGGAGACUGAGGCAGGAGAAUAGCUUGAACUUGGUGGUCGGAGGUUGCAGUGAGCUGAGAUGGAGUCACUGCACUCCAGCAAUCCUGAGGAGACUUAAGAACUAAACAUAGUAUGGUCCCCUGGAUGAGAUCUUGGAACAGGAAAAGGACAUUAUGGGAAAUAGUAAAGAAAUCUGAAUCAAGAUGAACCUUAGUUAAUAAUAAUGUAUCAGUAUUGGUUUACUGGGGCCGGGGAUGGUGGCUCACAUCCUAGCACUUUGGGAGGCUAAGGUGGGAAGAUCUUGAGGUCAGGAGUAUGAGACUAGCCUGGGCAACAUAGCGAGACUACAUCUCUCUAAAUUUUUUUUUUCUUUUAGUUAGUCAGCAUGGUGGUAUGCACUUACAGUCCCAGCUGCUAGGGAGGCUGAGGAGGGAGAAUUGCUUGAGCCCAAGAGUUUGAAGCUGCAGUGAGGUGUGACUGUGCCACUGUGCUCCAGCCUGGUCAACAGGGCAAGACCCGUUAUCUCCAAAACUUUUUUCAUUACAAAAAAAUUUUUUUUUGAGAUGGGAUUUCGCUCUUCUUGCCCAGGCUGGAGUGCAAUGGCGAGAUCUCGGCUCACUGCAACCUCUGCCUCCCAGGUUCAAGCAAUUCUUCCACCUCAGCCUCCCAAGUAGCUGGGAUUACAGGCAUGCGCCACCACGUGUGGCUGAUUUUUGUAUUUUUAGUAGAGACGGGGUUUCACCAUGUUGGCCAGACUGGUCUUGAACUCCUGACUUCAAGCAGUUCACCUGCCUUAGCCUCCCAAAGUGCUGGGACUACGGUUGUGAGCCACUGCAGCCGGACUAUUUUUUAAAUGCUUUUUAGAACCAAAGUCUUGUUAUGCUGCUCAGCCUAGAUUCUAACUCCUGUGCUCAAGCAAUUCUCCUGCCUCAACCUCCUGAGCAGCUGAGACUACAGCUUGUGGCACCACAAGCCAGAAAGUUUGUUUCUUUUUUUAGAAAAGAGAGGGCUUAGGACUUCUGGAGCACAGACUUCAAAUAGCAGCCGAGUCCACAAUUGUGCUCCCUUCCCUCUGGAUCUUCCUUCCUGAGUGCCUGUGAAAAGCAAGCUUUGGCCCUGCCUGGGUGGUGAUUGUCGUUCCUGACGGCCAGUCCUGCAAGCUCUGGACUUGCUUAGCCAACCCCACAAAUGCAGAAGCCAAGCUUUUACGAAUAUAUCUAUCUAUCUAGAUGUAUGUCUGUAUAUAGCUUUUUUGUUUGUUUGUUUGUUUGUUAGAGAUGGAGUCUAGCUUUGUCACCCAGGCUGGAGUGCAGUGGCGUGAUCUCGGCUCACUGCAACUGCUGCCUCCCGGGUUCAAGCAAUUCUCCUGCCUCAGCCUCCCGAUUUGCUGGAACUACAGGUAUGCACCACCAUGCCUGGUUAAUUUUUGUAUUUUUAUUAGAGACAGAGUUUCAUCAUGUUGGCCAGGCUGGUCUCAAACUCCUGACCUCAGGUGAUCUGCCUGCCUCGGCCUCUCAAAGUGCUGGGAUUACAGGUGUGAGCCACUGUGCCUGGCUAGAAGCCAUCCGUUUCUAUAUCUAUGCAGAUGUGUGUCACUAUAUGUUUAUGAAUAUCUGAAUGUGUGUAUCUUUCCUACUGGUUCUGCUUCUCUGGUUUGAACCCUAACACAACUAGUUUUUUUUUUUGUUUUUUGUUUUUUUUUGAGCUGGCAUCUUGCUCUGUCACCCAGGCUGGAGUGCAGCAGUUUGAUCUCUGUUCAUUGCAACCUCCACCUCCUGGGCACAAUAGUAUUUUAUAAUCUGUUAGGAAUUCAAAAGAUCAAACUACGUAUUUAAAUACAUUUCAAAUACAAACUUUGAAAAUCAUACUAUGAAACAUUAAGUAAGAUUCUACAUUAUUAGGCCAGGGACGGUGGUUUCGGCCUCUAAUCCAGCACUUUGGGAAGCCAAGGCGGGCAGAUUGCUUGAGCUCAGGAAUUUGACACCCCCCGGGCAACAUAGCAAGACCCUGUCUCCACAAAAAUAGAAAAAUUAGCUGGACAUGGUGGUGCAUGGCUGUGGUCCCAGCUGUUUGGGAGGCUGAGGUGGGAGGAUCACAUGAGCCCAGGAAUUUGAGGCUGCAUGGAAGCAUGAUUGAGCCAUUGCACUCCAUCCUGGGUGACAGAGUGAGACCCUGUCCCACCCCCCAAAAAAAGUUAAUAUCAUUAUAUAAUUGUACUCUAAAUUAUUAGCAAAAUGAAAGAAAAUUAAGUAUUAUUUAAAAAUAGGCAAGGUACAGUGGCUCAUGCCUAUAAUCCCAGCACUCUGGGAGGGCAAAGCAGGUGGAUCACUUGAGGUCAGGAAUUCGAUACCAGCCUGGCCAACAUGGUGAAACCCCAUUUCUACUAAAA
ensembl:lincRNA